GGAGGUCUGCCAGCUUCCUGGUCCCCCGGACAGCCCUGCCUGCCCUGUUGCCUGCCUGCACAACUUGUCAUUUCUCUGCUGACUGUGGGAGCCAUCAGAGCUCUGGCCUACCCAUGGUCUUUCCUGUUGUAGCCUGUCUUUCUGGAGUGCUUCUCAGUCCUAAUCUUUCCAUAACUGGCUUCUUCACCUUGCUUCACCAUUCUCCAGGCAUUUGAAAAAGGAGCUCUCACUCUGUUG